GAGUCCUCACUAACAGGUGGGCCGGCCCUUCCCAACCAUCUGGCAGGACGGCUCAGACCCGAGGAAACAGAAGCCCAGGGCUGCAAAGCCAGCGAGAGAGGAUGGGAAGGGCGCAGGUGCAUGCAGGUGCAUGAUCACGAGAAGCUCAAAGCUCUCCGCACGAGGCCCUCCUUGGGAUCUCGCUGCCUGUUCACACAGCUCCUCCCACGUCGCAAAGUCCAUCCACAUCCAGACCUCACAGCCACCUGCACACAAGGCAUAAUGCUGUUCCUUCCUUCAGGUGCGCUCUGGACUCUGGUAAGGGCAGCUGGUGCACUGCGGGGCUCACAGAGUCCUCUGGAGGCCAGGUCGAGGAGGAGGGCAUGGGCCACACCCCUGCUGCCCUGGGGGACUCCCCAAGGCCCCUCACUGCUGUUCAUCACGCCUGCAACCCACAGAUGCUCACAAAAGUCUCUGGAAGGAACUGCCUUUAUCAGAGCCGAUUCUUAACCACACCAGAGACUGACUCUCCUUAUUGGGAAGAACUCCUGACUCAUACUCGAACCAAUUCAAAUGCCAUAUUCCUGAUUUGAUUCGAUGGACUUUUGCCUUUCAACCAUUUCUCAAAGGUGACUUUUCCAUAAAGGAUGAAGAAUGGCUUUCCCUGGGGAAUCCUAGGAACAGACCACAGGCUCUGAAGGCAUUUCUGGGAGAUACUUUAAGGCAGUGGCUCUCUACCUUGGCUGCCUCUGAAGCCAAACAGGAAGAUUGAAAACAAAAUACAGACCCCAAACCUCACUCUCAGAAAUUCGGGUGUAGGAAGUCUAAGGCACAGGCUGGUGGAGAGAUUUUUGCUCCCCAGGUGAUUCUAAUGCAUAACCAGGGCAGGAACCGGGACCAGAAACAUACCUACUGCGCUCCCCGUCCCAGUGGGGUCAGACGCCUACCUGGACGUUAUAAAUUUUGGAAAUUUGCACAGCCUUCCUCAUCAUAGCUGACCACGAAUGGGUGGCUUGCCCAAGAUCUCAGAGCUGGAAGUACCAGCUCGGCCUCCUUCAAUACUUGUUGAUGGAGUUCCCGUCGUGGCGCAGUGGUUAACGAACCAGACUCGUAUCCAUGAGGAUGCAAGUUCAAUCCCUGCCCUUGCUCAGUGGGUUAAGGAUCAGGCAUUGCUGUGAGCUGUGGGCGGCAGCUACAGCUCCGGUCCGACCCCUAGCCUGGGGACCUCCAUAGGCUGGGGGUACGGCCCUAAAAAAGACCAAAACAAUGAAUUUUAAAAAUGAUACUUACUGAGCACCUGUGUCCUGGGCAAUCUCCUAACAAUCAGAAGAUUUUACAAAUCUCUGGAUUUGGGGCCACCGCCACGCAACACUUGUGCAAGGCAGGGCCUACUUGUCGCUGGGUCGGUGGUGCCCUUCCUUGGACCCGCAGGCCCUCUUGGGGCUACCCCUUCUCCAUCCCACGUGGCCUGUUGACUUGACCGAUCUGGCCAUGCCACAUCCACUUUUGUGAGGCCUGCAUUACCCCACGGAUGGAGGGGAAGAACACCCACUUAGAUGCCUAUCUCAUCCCUACUGGAAAAAUCAGUCUUUGCUUUUACCUAAAGAAACGGGAGCCAGACCCGAUACACAACUGUGGAAAUCCAGCCGAUAAUGACAGAAGGGAAGCACCACACGGACCGUGUCUCUUCAUCUCAAACCACCUUCAGACGCCCAACCCACUGGCGUCAGAAACCUCCAGGGCCCUUCCCCUUCUGUCUCCACCCAACCUGGUUGCUCAACCAGGUCCUGAAAAUAGUCUGGAUAUCAAACCCAGAUCGGUGGCCACCAGGCAGGCAACACAGAAACCCCUGAGCACAGGAAGCACUGUUCCUACUGCCUUUCAGAAUGAUCCGUGGAGAGGCCGCAUUAAAAGGGAAAAUGCCAUCCCACCGUAGAAUGAGACUAUCAAGGGGCAGAACGCAACCCAGCGCACACACACACACGGGUGGGAACCAUGAAAUACGUUCACGUACAUCCACCGAGGGCCAGAAGGGAAUGCGAAGGAUCCACGUAAUUUUCGUUUUGUUAAUUAGCCUCUUUCAAAAAAAAAGGGCCUUCAUGUUACCAGUUCUCUAAAAAAUGAUGCAAAAAAAUUACUCGCAACUUCCUCAUCCGCAAGAUUGAAUAACAGUGGUACCUGGAGUGCAGGAAUCUGAGAGAACUGAAAGGGUUCGUUGAGAUGCAGCACUGGCACGGAGCCAAGGACGCAAUCUUUGCGAUUUUUGUUAGUAUUCAGGCUCCGAGGCAAUUUAUCGUUCCCUUCCCCUCUUCCUUUGCCAAAAGAAGCAAAUGAAGUGGGUCUACAGACUGCCCGUGACCUCUGCCCAUGACCUCUGCCCAUGACCUUUGCCCAUGAAAUAAAGAUGACCACAUUCAGCUGUGACAUUCUUUCUAAGUAUCAACUCAUGGUUUUGAAUGCUUACGUGACGGCAGCGUCUAUUACAGAGAAGGUAUUUUGGUCCAAUUCUCUGGCUGGAAGAGCUCUACGGAGGUGCGUGUUUAACCGUCUGUCUGCUUUUCUCUCUCCCUGCAAAGGCUUAUAAACUCCAGGAUGGGAAACGUGCCUAAUUCCUUCCUGCCCCUGCAGUGCCCAGCCCAGUAGCUGGAAGUCACUAAACAUUCACAGUAUUGUGAUAUGAAUAUAAAUCAAGAGAAA
rnacentral:lncRNA from 1 species